rnacentral:rRNA from 1 species
GUUCCGUAGUGAACUGCGGAAGGAUCAUUA